UUAUUGAGGUUUAAGUGAGUCACUUAGAAAGUAGAAUUUUAGGUCUAGUAAGGAUUUUUAAGAUUUUUUGCAAUCUACUAGUUGGAUGGGAGUGAAACUUAUGUGAGAGGCUAUUAGACUUGUUUUUCUAUGUAUAUGAGAAUUUUGAGAUCAAUCAAAUGGUACAAAGGAGAGACAUUGGCUUUGGAAUAUUGGCAUCAAGGUUGGAGAAGGAGGUCAACCAAUACCCAAGGACGUUUUUGACGUUAUCGUCUAUUUGGUAAUUUCGAUCCUUUUCAAAAAAUUUGUGAUUGUUUUUAACUUAGUUUUUAAGAAGUGUGCAAAAUUUGAGUUAAGAGAAACGGUUCAUUUAUUAGUUAUUGAGGUUUAAAUCUAUUGUAGGAAUUACUAGGAUUUGGUUAGGAAUUGGUUUAGGAUUUAGAGUUUGGUUAGGAUUUGAUUUAGGAUUAAGGUUUAAUUAGGAUUUGAUUUAGGAUUAAGGUUUAAUUAUGAUUUGAUUUAGGAUUUAAGAUUUGAAUUAGAGUUUGGUUACAGUUUGAUUUAAGCUUUGAAAUUUGAUUUAGAAUUUGGUUAGGAUUUGAUUUAGGAUUAGGAUUUGAUUAGGGUUUGAUUUAGGAUUUAGGAUUUGGAUUACAGUUUUAUUAGGAUUUGAUUUAGGAUUUAGAAUUUGGUUUAGGAUUUAGGAUUUGAUUUAGGAUUUAGGAUUUGGUUUAGGAUUUAGGAUUUGAUUUAGGAUUUAGAAUUUUAUUAGGGUUUAAGAUUUAAUUAGUUUUAGCUUAAAGUUUGAAUAAAGUCCAAUAGGAUUUUAACUAGAUUUAAAUUAAGAUUGAAUUGAGAUGUAUUUGAGAGAUAUUUGUGAUUAUUCUAAUAUUUCUUGAAGAUUUUUUAUUAUUUCUUUGAAAUUUCUUUGAGGUU
rnacentral:lncRNA from 1 species